CUGCCCAAGAGACUGGGAUAACACCUGGAAACAGAUGCUAAUACCGGAUAACAACACUAGACGCAUGUCUAGAGUUUGAAAGAUGGUUCUGCUAUCACUCUUGGAUGGACCUGCGGUGCAUUAGCUAGUUGGUAAGGUAACGGCUUACCAAGGCAAUGAUGCAUAGCCGAGUUGAGAGACUGAUCGGCCACAUUGGGACUGAGACACGGCCCAAACUCCUACGGGAGGCAGCAGUAGGGAAUCUUCCACAAUGGACGAAAGUCUGAUGGAGCAACGCCGCGUGAGUGAAGAAGGGUUUCGGCUCGUAAAGCUCUGUUGGUAGUGAAGAAAGAUAGAGGUAGUAACUGGCCUUUAUUUGACGGUAAUUACUUAGAAAGUCACGGCUAACUACGUGCCAGCAGCCGCGGUAAUACGUAGGUGGCAAGCGUUGUCCGGAUUUAUUGGGCGUAAAGCGAGUGCAGGCGGUUCAAUAAGUCUGAUGUGAAAGCCUUCGGCUCAACCGGAGGAUUGCAUCAGAAACUGUUGAACUUGAGUGCAGAAGAGGAGAGUGGAACUCCAUGUGUAGCGGUGGAAUGCGUAGAUAUAUGGAAGAACACCAGUGGCGAAGGCGGCUCUCUGGUCUGCAACUGACGCUGAGGCUCGAAAGCAUGGGUAGCGAACAGGAUUAGAUACCCUGGUAGUCCAUGCCGUAAAC
rnacentral:rRNA from 1 species